GGAAAAGCCUUAGCUCAGGACCAGAGCAUUUACCUUGCAUGCAGAAGGUCCCAGGAUCAAGCCCUGGCACCUCCA